GACGAACGCUGGCGGCGUGCCUAAUACAUGCAAGUGGGACGCAAGGAAACACACUGUGCUUGCACACCGUGUUUUCUUGAGUCGCGAACGGGUGAGUAACGCGUAGGUAACCUGCCUAUUAGCGGGGGAUAACUAUUGGAAACGAUAGCUACUACCGCAUAAUAUUAAUUAUUGCAUGAUAAUUGAUUGAAAGAUGCAAGCGCAUCACUAGUAGAUGGACCUGCGUUGUAUUAGCUAGUUGGUAAGGUAAGAGCUUACCAAGGCGACGAUACAUAGCCGAGCCGGGGGGGAGAACGGCCACACUGGGACUGAGACACGGCCCAGAAUCCUACGGGAAGCAGCAGGAGGGAAACUUCGGCAAUGGAGGAAAGGCUGAACGAGGAACGCCGCGUGAGUGAAGAAGGGUUUCGGAUCGUAAAGCUCUGUUGUAAGUCAAGAACGUGUGGGAGAGUGGAAAGUUCACACAGUGACGGUAGCUUACCAGAAAGGGACGGCUAACUACGUG
rnacentral:rRNA from 1 species